UGGGGAAUAUUGCACAAUGGGCGAAAGCCUGAUGCAGCGACGCCGCGUGAGGGAUGACGGCCUUCGGGUUGUAAACCUCUUUCAGCAGGGAAGAAGCGAAAGUGACGGUACCUGCAGAAGAAGCGCCGGCUAACUACGUGCCAGCAGCCGCGGUAAUACGUAGGGCGCGAGCGUUGUCCGGAAUUAUUGGGCGUAAAGAGCUCGUAGGCGGUCUGUCGCGUCGGAUGUGAAAGCCGGGGCUUAACCCGGGUCGUGCAUUCGAUACGGGCAGACUAGAGUGUGGUAGGGGAGGAUCGGAAUUCCUGGUGUAGCGGUGAAAUGCGCAGAUAUCAGGAGGAACACCGGCGGCGAAGGCGGAUCUCUGGGCCAUUACUGACGCUGAGGAGCGAAAGCGUGGGGAGCGAACAGGAUUAGAUACCCUGGUAGUCCACGCCGUAAACGGUGGGAACUAGGUGUUGGCGACAUUCCACGUCGUCGGUGCCGCAGCUAACGC
rnacentral:rRNA from 1 species